rnacentral:rRNA from 1 species
AACGAACGCUGGCGGCGCGCUUAACACAUGCAAGUCGAGCGGUAAGGCCCUUUCGGGGGUACACGAGCGGCGAACGGGUGAGUAACACGUGGGUGACCUGCCCUCAGCUCUGGGAUAAGCCUGGGAAACCGGGUCUAAUACUGGAUAUGACUCCAUGACGCAUGUUGUGGGGUGGAAAGCCUUGUGCGGCUGAGGAUGGGCCCGCGGCCUAUCAGCUUGUUGGUGGGGUGANGGCCUACCAAGGCGACGACGGGUAGCCGGCCUGAGAGGGCGACCGGCCA